GAUGAACGCUGGCGGCGUGCCUAAUACAUGCAAGUCGAGCGAACGGACGAGAAGCUUGCUUCUCUGAUGUUAGCGGCGGACGGGUGAGUAACACGUGGAUAACCUACCUAUAAGACUGGGAUAACUUCGGGAAACCGGAGCUAAUACCGGAUAAUAUUUUGAACCGCAUGGUUCAAAAGUGAAAGACGGUCUUGCUGUCACUUAUAGAUGGAUCCGCGCUGCAUUAGCUAGUUGGUAAGGUAACGGCUUACCAAGGCAACGAUGCAUAGCCGACCUGAGAGGGUGAUCGGCCACACUGGAACUGAGACACGGUCCAGACUCCUACGGGAGGCAGCAGUAGGGAAUCUUCCGCAAUGGGCGAAAGCCUGACGGAGCAACGCCGCGUGAGUGAUGAAGGUCUUCCGAUCGUAAAACUCUGUUAUUAGGGAAGAACAUAUGUGUAAGUAACUGUGCACAUCUUGACGGUACCUAAUCAGAAAGCCACGGCUAACUACGUG
rnacentral:rRNA from 1 species